GAUGAACGCUAGCGGCAGGCCUAACACAUGCAAGUCGAGGGGUAACAGAGGUAGCUUGCUACUUGCUGACGACCGGCGCACGGGUGCGUAACGCGUAUACAAUCUACCUUUUACAGGGGGAUAGCCCAGAGAAAUUUGGAUUAAUACCCCAUAGAAUAUAGAAGUGGCAUCGCUUUUAUAUUAAAGUUUCGGCGGUAAGAGAUGAGUAUGCGUCCUAUUAGCUAGAUGGAGUGGUAACGGCACACCAUGGCAACGAUAGGUAGGGGCCCUGAGAGGGGGAUCCCCCACACUGGUACUGAGACACGGACCAGACUCCUACGGGAGGCAGCAGUGAGGAAUAUUGGACAAUGGGCGGAAGCCUGAUCCAGCCAUGCCGCGUGCAGGAAGACUGCCCUAUGGGUUGUAAACUGCUUUUAUACAGGAAGAAACCUCCUUACGUGUAGGGAGCUGACGGUACUGUAAGAAUAAGCAUCGGCUAACUCCGUGCCAGCCGCCGCCGUAACAC
rnacentral:rRNA from 1 species